rnacentral:rRNA from 1 species
UACGUAGGGUGCGAGCGUUGUCCGGAAUUAUUGGGCGUAAAGAGCUCGUAGGCGGUCUGUCGCGUCGGUCGUGAAGACCUGGGGCUUAACCCUGAGCUUGCGGUCGAUACGGGCAUGACUGGAGUUCGGCAGGGGAGACUGGAAUUCCUGGUGUAGCGGUGAAAUGCGCAGAUAUCAGGAGGAACACCGGUGGCGAAGGCGGGUCUCUGGGCCGAUACUGACGCUGAGGAGCGAAAGCGUGGGGAGCGAACAGG